rnacentral:rRNA from 1 species
UACGUAGGGUACGAGCGUUGUCCGGAAUUACUGGGCGUAAAGAGCUCGUAGGUGGUUUGUCGCGUUGUUCGUGAAAUCUCACGGCUUAACUGUGAGCGUGCGGGCGAUACGGGCAGACUAGAGUACUGCAGGGGAGACUGGAAUUCCUGGUGUAGCGGUGGAAUGCGCAGAUAUCAGGAGGAACACCGGUGGCGAAGGCGGGUCUCUGGGCAGUAACUGACGCUGAGGAGCGAAAGCGUGGGGAGCGAACAGG